rnacentral:lncRNA from 1 species
CCCAACAAGUUUAAAUACAACAUUAUAAGGAUAUAUCAUGAUUGAAGAGUAUGAAUAAUAAACUGGCUAUAAUUCAUCAAUAUAAUUGAGAACUAACACGAACAAACUUUUGACUGAACAAGUUUUAAACAUGAACAAACAUUUCUGAACCAACUGGUAAUGAAGGUGAUCAGCCUUUCAUACCUGACUUAUACAUGCAAGAUGUACAGAGUACAAUUUUCAUGGCAAUCAGCAAUGAUUAACCAUAAGCUUGAAUAAAACACUCUUAUUAGAGUUAAG